CGGACGGGUGAGUAAUGUCUGGGAAACUGUCUGAUGAGGGGGAUAACUACUGGAAACGGUAGCUAAUACCGCAUAACGUCGCAAGACCAAAGAGGGGGACCUUCGGGCCUCUUGCCAUCAGAUGUGCCCAGAUGGGAUUAGCUAGUAGGUGGGGUAACGGCUCACCUAGGCGACGAUCCCUAGCUGGUCUGAGAGGAUGACCAGCCACACUGGAACUGAGACACGGUCCAGACUCCUACGGGAGGCAGCAUG
rnacentral:rRNA from 1 species